AAAAAGUACUAUACAAUUAAAUAAAAUGGUAGAAAACAAAAGAAUAAGCGAAGAAGAAGCAAAUGCGCUUCACGCUAAUUCCAAGUACCAACACAAAACAAAUUCAAUGUUUGGUGAAGCAACUUGCUUAGUGGCGGACGGGUGAGUAACGCGUGAACAAUCUGCCCCGUACAAAGGGAUAGCCUCGGGAAACCGGGAUUAAAACCAUAUAACACUUAACUGCCGCAUGGUAGUGAAGUCAAAUCGAUUAAGAGGUAUGGGAUGAGUUCGCGUCUGAUUAGCUAGUUGGUGAGGUAAGGGCUCACCAAGGCGACGAUCAGUAGCCGGCCUGAGAGGGUGAACGGCCACACUGGAACUGAGACACGGUCCAGACUCCUACGGGAGGCAGCAGUGGGGAAUAUUGCACAAUGGAGGGAACUCUGAUGCAGCGACGCCGCGUGAGUGAAGAAGGUCUUCGGAUCGUAAAACUCUGUCCUUGGUGAAGAAAAGGACGGUAGCCAAGGAGGAAGCCCCGGCUAACUACGUG
rnacentral:rRNA from 1 species